GGGCACUGAUGAGCAAAGGCAGAGCCAAAGGCUAAACUAGCAGGAGGAUGCCAAAGUUCCUGACAUUGGACUGAGUAGCGAAGGGAAGGCGUUCAGGAAAACAAGGGGGGAAUAUUACCCCAGCCCCCUCUAAAGGGGGAGUACCGAGAAUGAAAGAAUAGUUAAAACUGAGAAUUACCUGGAGUUGAGAACCUUCUAAAUUCUCUCCAGGAGGAUAUUUUCCCCAGAAGAAACCCAAGAGGAGGAUUCUAUAAACUGGAAGAGCCCUAAGGAAGGAGACCACUGAUUUAUCAUGGGAGCUGGUGUUCUGGUGAAAGGUCUUAUCCAAGAGGAGCAACCAAAUGAUCUCUCAGAUGUCUCAGAUGUUGUUUUUGCCCAAGAAGGAGGUGGCAGAUCAGAGGAGUUAGUUUGUUUUCUGUUAUCAGAUAACAUACACCAAGAAGAGAAGCCUUUGAUGGGCAUGUUUUAUACACGCUGAAAUAAAACAAUCCUCCCUCAGACUUGGAUGCUGAAAUUCUCCUUGGCAGUCUGCAGUGCCAUGACUCUUUGCUGGCCAUAUCUCUGAGCACGGUGCACCUUGUUGGAGACCU
rnacentral:lncRNA from 1 species